CGCAGGGGACGCGGCGCUCACGCUCCCGCCCGAGCCCGGGGAAAGCGGAGACAAGGAGACGGCACCGCCCCCCGGGCCCCGGCCCUGCUCCCGCACCAUGCCCGCAGCGGAGCCGAGCGCCGCCCUCCUCCCGGAGCUCGCGGAGGCUACGCCGCCGCCGGGGCCGGGGCUCCUAGGGUAGCGGGGCCGGAGUCGGCACCGAGGCGGCGCGAGGCGGGCGGAGCUGGAGGAGGAGCAGGCAUCCUCCGCGGCCCUGGGGCCCCGCGCGCCCAUGGCCGGUGAGCACGGAGAAUGCAAGCUGCGUCCCGCCGCCGCAGCCCCGCUCCGUGCCGCGUGCCCGGCGCCCCCCAGAGCUGUUCGCGUCGCCGCCGCCCCUCAGCUCCGGGCGCCGGGCCGCCGGCUGCGCUAGGACCCACAUCCGCGGGCCACCCGGGGCUGGUGGCCCGGGAGCCGCGGGAGCGAGUGGGCCCGGGAACCGGGUGCCGGCGCGGGCGCAGCGCAGCAUGCAGCUGCGGGCUCCGGUGCCGGCGUGAGGGUGUUGACCCGGCCCGCCAUGGCUGGCAAGGACAGUGGCAACCUGAAGACUGUGAGGCUGUGGCGGGACGCCGCCCUGCGCGCCAGGAAGCUACGGAGCAACCUGCGCCAGCUCACCCUCAGCUGCCCGGGGGCGGGAGGCGACGCGCUGGAGUCCCCGGACGCCCCCCAGCUGGUGCUGCCGGCCAACAUCGGAGACAUUGAGGUGCUGAACCUGGGGAACAACGGCCUGGACGAGGUGCCCGAAGGGUUGGGGUCGGCUCUGGGCAGUCUGCGCGUCUUGGUCCUGCGCAGGAACCGUUUUGCCCGCCUGCCCUCUGCGGUAGCGGAGCUCGGCCACCACCUUACCGAGCUGGACGUGAGCCACAACCGGCUGACCGUCCUCGGCGCCGAGGUGGUGAGCGCCCUGAGGGAGCUGCGCAAGCUCAACCUGAGCCACAACCAGCUGCCGGCGCUGCCCUCACAGCUGGGCGCCCUCGCCCAUCUGGAGGAUCUGGAUGUCAGUUUCAACCGACUGGCGCACCUGCCGGAUUCCCUCUCCUGCCUCCAGCGUCUGCGCACCCUAGACGUGGACCACAACCAGCUCACUGCCUUUCCCCGGCAGCUGCUGCAGCUGGCGGCCCUGGAGGAGCUGGAUGUAUCCAGCAACCGGCUGCGAGGCCUACCUGAGGAUAUCAGUGCCCUCCGUGCCCUCAAGAUCCUCUGGCUGAGUGGGGCCGAGCUUGGCAUCCUGCCCAGCGGCUUCUGCGAGUUGGCCAGUUUGGAGAGCCUAAUGUUGGACAACAACGGGCUGCAGGCUCUGCCCGCCCAGUUCAGCUGCCUGCAACGGCUCAAAAUGCUCAACCUCUCUUCCAACCUCUUUGAGGAGUUCCCCGCUGCCCUGUUGCCGCUGGCGGGUCUCGAGGAGCUCUACCUUAGUCGCAACCAGCUCACCUCAGUGCCAUCCCUUAUCUCCGGGCUGGGCCGGCUUCUCACCCUGUGGCUGGAUAAUAACCGCAUCCGCUACCUGCCGGACUCCAUUGUGGAGCUGACCGGCCUGGAGGAGCUGGUGCUGCAAGGGAACCAGAUCGCUGUGCUGCCGGACAACUUUGGCCAGCUCUCCCGGGUGGGCCUGUGGAAAAUCAAGGACAAUCCACUGAUUCAGCCCCCUUAUGAAGUCUGCAUGAAGGGGAUCCCCUACAUUGCAGCCUACCAGAAGGAGCUGGCUCAUUCCCAGCCAGCCGUUCAGCCCCGCCUCAAGCUGCUCCUGAUGGGCCAUAAGGCUGCAGGAAAGACCUUGCUCUGUCACUGCCUCACAGAGGACAAAGUGGAGGGAGGCUACGGAGGAGGGGACACGGAGAAGAACUACCCACCUUCCCCUCCCCCUGGGAGCAAGGGCAUCGAGGUGACCAGCUGGACUGCAGAUGCCUCCCGGGGCCUGCGGUUCAUUGUAUAUGACUUAGCUGGUGAUGAAAGCUAUGAGGUGAUCCAGCCUUUCUUCCUCUCCCCAGGAGCCCUGUAUGUGCUAGUGGUCAACUUGGCCACUUAUGAACCACGCUGCUUUCCCACUACUGUGGGCUCCUUCUUGCACCGGGUGGGUGCACGGGUGCCUCACGCUGUGGUGUGCAUUGUGGGUACACACGCAGACCUGUGCGGGGAGCGGGAUUUGGAGGAAAAGUGUCUGGACAUUCACCGCCAGAUCGCCCUGCAGGAGAAGCACGAUGCCGAGGGCCUGAGCCGUUUAGCCCAGGUGGUCGAUGAGGCUCUGGCCCGGGACUUCGAGCUGCGCUCUGCCAGCCCCCAUGCAGCCUAUUAUGGUGUUUCAGACAAGAACCUUCGGCGGAGAAAGGCCCAUUUUCAAUACCUGCUCAACCACCGGCUCCAGAUCCUCUCCCCGGUGUUGCCUGUUAGCUGCAGGAACCCCCUCCAGUUGCAACGCCUCCGGGACAAACUGCUCUCUGUAGCUGAGCAUAGAGAAAUCUUCCCUAACCUACAUCGAGUCCUGCCACGAUCCUGGCAGGUGCUGGAGGAGCUGCACUUCCAGCCACCUCAGGCACAACGACUGUGGCUAAGCUGGUGGGACUCCGCGCGCCUGGGCCUGCAGGCAGGUCUGACUGAGGACCGCCUGCAGAGUGCCCUUUCCUACCUGCAUGAGAGCGGCAAGCUGCUCUACUUUGAGGAUAGCCCUGCUCUCAAGGAGCACGUCUUCCACAACCUUACGCGCCUCAUCGACAUCCUCAAUGUCUUUUUCCAGAGGGAUGCUUCUUUGCUGCUGCAUAAACUACUCCUAGGGACCAGUGGAGAGGGUGAGGGCGAGGGGGAAAGCUUCCCCACUCUAGCGAUGCCCACCCGGGGCCAGGACCCACUCCGGGCCACCCAGCUCCAUCAUUAUGUGGAGGGUUUUCUGCUGCAUGGGCUCCUGCCAGUACAUGUCAUUCGGUUGCUGCUUAAGCCUCAUGUCCAGGCCCAGCAGGACUUGCAGCUGCUGCUGGAGCUGUUGGAGAAGAUGGGACUCUGUUACUGUCUCAAUAAGCCCAAAGGCAAGCCUUUGAAUGGGUCCACUGCUUGGUACAAGUUUCCAUGCUAUGUGCAGAAUGAGGUGCCCCACGCAGAGGCCUGGAUUAAUGGGACCAACCUGACUGGGCAGUCUUUUGUGGCUGAGCAGUUGCAGAUUGAAUAUAGUUUUCCCUUUACUUUUCCUCCUGGGCUGUUUGCUCGCUACAGUGUCCAGAUCAAUAGCCAUGUGGUGCACAGGUCGGAUGGUAAAUUUCAAAUCUUUGCAUACAGAGGGAAGGUUCCUGUGGUGGUGAGUUACAGACCUGCCAAGGGGGUCCUGCAGCCAGAUACCCUGUCCAUUGCCAGCCAUGCAUCAUUACCAAAUAUAUGGACUGCAUGGCAGGCCAUCACGCCCUUGGUAGAGGAACUGAAUGUCCUACUUCAGGAAUGGCCUGGACUGCAUUACACCGUGCACAUCCUCUGUUCUAAGUGCCUUAAGAGAGGGUCACCCAACCCACACGCUUUUCCAGGGGAGCUGCUGAGCCAGCCCAGGCCAGAAGGAGUGGCAGAAAUCAUCUGUCCCAAGAAUGGCAGUGAGCGUGUGAAUGUGGCCUUGGUUUACCCACCUACACCUACUGUGAUCAGCCCCUGUUCCAAGUAUCUGCCUACUUUCUUGGAAAAUUAAGUGGAAAAGAUAGCACUUCUUCCCCUUGUGCCGUCAGUUUAACUGUACCAAAUCGGUGACUUUAGGAGCACCAAGUUUUAAGGGAAGAACGUUGGUGAAAAGCACAGAAACCAGUGAUUUUUGUGGCUGUGGAAUUUCCAUGGAGAAAACAGAGCAUAGGAACCGACCUGAACCAUCUUCUGCCCCUGGCAAGCCCUGCACACUCCCUGGCUACUUCUGGGGCUGAGUGAAGCUGUAUGAGGGAGCUUUCAGAGGACCCUUGGAGAGGUGUGGAGGGGGCUGGCAAGAUGGGCGAGAACAUGGAGCAAAUGUUUCACAACCUGAACCUCAGAACUGUGAUCCUCCAAGGAGAGCGCUACUUGAAGAAAAGAAAAAAAAUGUUGAAUGGCUUCUCAGGGAUUUUAUUUUCCAUGUACACAUAAGCCAUAGUUCCAGUACAGGUGGCAGUAUUUAGAGCACUCGGGUUUCAGUUCUGUUAAAUGUGAAAGAGGGAUUGACUGACGUUCAUUGAUGUUCCGUAACUAGUGUAAAAUAUGUAUAUGUUAAUCUUUAUUUUUAUAAUACGCAAAUACAUUUAAAUUUAUACAGUUUGAAGCUUCUAGCAUUAGUUAACACUGGGUGCAAUAUUUUGCAUGAGAACUGUGCCAAGUUGGGGCUGAUUUCUUAUUUUAGUGUAAGACUUUUUUGUUCUUUAACUUCACCUUCUCAGACUAAAAAGGAAAAGGCAUCAUCUACCUGUUAGUCCACAGAUUCAGUGUUGGUUCAUAGAGACUUUUGGUAAUCAGCAAGAUCCUUGAGCCCAUUGAGACAGGGUCCUCUUCUACCUUUUCAUUAAAGCUCCUGCCUGUAAAUCAUUAGACACAGCGGUAGCAUCACUGGAGAGUAGGAUCAUUCAUUUUCUCUCCCCACACAUCAGUCAUCACUGCUGUGGUAAAGAUGAAGCAUUCUGAGAGGCCAAAUGGGGUGAAGCACCCAGGGACAACCCGAAUCUUGGAACAGCUUAAGAUAAUCAGGUUAGUUCUAAAUUUUGCAGGGACUCUGCUACUAAGCAUCUUUUUGUAGAACAGGGUGCAAAAUUUAGCAUAGUGCUAUGUGAACCUCCACAUCUGGCUUCAGGUAGUGAGCCUCCUGUUGGUGAGCAUGAUCCCACACUGGCUAUUAUUCAUUCAGAGCCAAUUGUUGAAGGAUCUUCUGCCAAGAUCUAAUAAAACCCUUGUUUUGAAAUCUCCAGGAGGUAAAACUUAGAAACAAACUCCACAAAAUGCUCCCUAGUCUCCCAAUUGGGGCCAAACAGCAUAUGCUGCAGUAGUAACACACUCUUUGAAGAAUGUAAAGGACUCUGUUUACAUCUGCCUCCUCCCUGUGUUGACAGGAAAUGUGUAAAACUGUUUCUCCCCAGUGUCAGGCAAGAAGAGUGAGUCAGCUGGUCUUCCUUUUCACUUGCUUAUAAAGGAUUGACUCUGAGUGCUACAGCACAUGCACUCUCCACAAAUCCUUCAGGGAAAUGGUGGACGAAUGGCUGUGCUGGGAGAAAUUGCAAAUCAGUUUGUGUAGCAUGUUCAGUCCGUUGACCUGACUGCCUCCAGAGCCCCCAUUACGCAAGGAUGGUUUAGAAUCAUAGACUCAAGUGGGAAUCAGUCUCUUUUUAUGUUUUUAAUACUUGAAUGUGACAGCUCAAGUUUGAGAUUUUGUUUUCUUUUAGAACACAGUCACGGGACGGAUCUGGUUAAUUGGAUCUGGUUAAUUUUGUCACAGUUCUCGUGCAUGUGUGUAAGUGGAGAUUGAAUGGUAAUGUUUAAUUUCUUUAUGGACCACUGAAUUAUUGGGCAAUAAGUUUUUUAAUUCACACCAGGCAGUUCCAAAACUGUCAAAUCAACUAUCUUUGACCUGUCUUGAAAAAGUCCUGUAUGACUUUGGGUUCACUCCCCAGAGGGCCAUAUUAAAUGAAAAUGAGGCUCCUUGGGGUGAUGCCCUGCAAUGGUUGCCAUUUUCAUAAACAUAAAUGCCCAUGUUCUGAGUAUCUGCUACUUUGUGACAAGUGAUGUUUUGUGCUGUCGUCUGAACCCUCGAGAAGCAGUGUAUAUGAGGAAAUGUGUUUUGGCCAAAGGGUCGACAUGGUCAGAGGGUCAUGUGACUGAAAGAAGUCUCAGCAAAGCCCGAAAACUUGCCUCAUGAGGGGAGGGUUGGAGAUACAUAAACCACUCUGCUCAAUAGGAAUUUCACCGUCUACAUAGGAAAUUCUGUUUCCUCUUUCAACAACCUGGGAAGAUGCCGCAGCCAGCGGCUGAGGGGCCAUUCACGAAGCACAAGAGGAAUUUGUUCUACCCAAGGAGUCCCUUGCCUCUCAAACAAAUGCCCUCCAAGUUUGUUAUGGUUUCUAUUCCUGCAGCUGGUGGUAUCCAAACCACUUCCUGGAAUUGUAAAAGUGCUGCCAGAAUAAAUGUUCUUCCCCCUUCUAAGGAAAAAAAAAAUGAUAGUGCUCAUAUUUGAUAUGUGCACUGGACUUUUGAAUGAAUAAAGAGGAAGGGCUUGAUGUGAUUCUGAUGGAGUGUGUGUUUUUCAUGAUGCAGUCUGUGAAUUGUAUUGUGGUUUCCCAGUUUAUUGUCCUAAUGGGGUGGAAAUUUAAAAAAUAAAUACAAAUACAAAGAAAUGA